rnacentral:rRNA from 1 species
UACGGGGGGGGCAAGCGUUGUUCGGAAUUACUGGGCGUAAAGGGCGUGUAGGCGGCCAACUAAGUCCGACGUGAAAUCCCCAGGCUUAACCUGGGAACUGCGUCGGAUACUGGAUGGCUUGAAUCCGGGAGAGGGAUGCAGAAUUCCAGGUGUAGCGGUGAAAUGCGUAGAUAUCUGGAGGAACACCGGUGGCGAAGGCGGAUCUCUGGGCCUUACCUGACGCUCAGGUGCGAAAGCUAGGGGAGCGAACAGG